rnacentral:tRNA from 1 species
UGGGGAUUAGUCUAGUGGUAGGACAGCAGACUCUGGAUCUGUGAGGAGAGGUUCGAAUCCUCUAUCCCCAGCCA